rnacentral:rRNA from 1 species
CCCUUAGACGUUCUGGGCCGCACGCGCGCUACACUGACGAAGGCAACGAGCUUUCCUUUACCGAAAGGUACGGGCAAUCUUUUGAAACUUCGUCGUGCUGGGGAUAGAUCCUUGCAAUUUUUGAUCUUAAACGAGGAAUGCCUAGUAAGCGCAAGUCAUCAACUUGCGUUGAUUACGUCCCUGCCCUUUGUACACACCGCCCGUCGCUACUACCGAUUGAAUGGUUUAGUGAGGCCUUCGGAUCCGCGACUCGUUUUGUGGAGAAGUUGGACAAACUCAGUCAUUUAGAGGAAGUAAAAGUCGUAACA